AGAGUUUGAUCCUGACUCAGGACGAUGGCGUUGCGUGCUUAACACAUGCAAGUCGAACGAGACCCUUGCUUCGGUGGGGUGUUCUAGUGGCGAACGGGUGAGUAACACGUGGGCAACAUGCCCCCGGCUCUGGGAUAACUCAAGAAAUUGGGGCUAAUACAGGAUAUGACCGCUGACCGCAUGGUCUGGUGGUGGAAAGAUUUAUCGGCUGGGGAUGGGCCCGCGGCCUAUCAGCUUGUUGGUGGGGUAGUGGCCUACCAAGGCGACGACGGGUAGCCGGCCUGAGAGGGUGACCGGCCACACUGGGACUGAGACACGGCCCAGACUCCUACGGGAGGCAGCAGUGGGGAAUAUUGCGCAAUGGGCGAAAGCCUGACGCAGCGACGCCGCGUGGGGGAUGACGGCCUUCGGGUUGUAAACCUCUUUCAGCAGGGACGAAGCGCAAGUGACGGUACCUGCAGAAGAAGCACCGGCCAACUACGUGCCAGCAGCCGCGGUAAUACGUAGGGUGCAAGCGUUGUCCGGAAUUAUUGGGCGUAAAGAGCUCGUAGGCGGUCUGUCGCGUCGGCUGUGAAAUCCCGAGGCUCAACCUCGGGUCUGCAGUCGAUACGGGCAAACUGGAGUGUUGCAGGGGAGACUGGAAUUCCUGGUGUAGCGGUGAAAUGCGCAGAUAUCAGGAGGAACACCGGUGGCGAAGGCGGGUCUCUGGGCAACAACUGACGCUGAGGAGCGAAAGCGUGGGGAGCGAACAGGAUUAGAUACCCUGGUAGUCCACGCCGUAAACGUUGGGCGCUAGGUGUGGGGCUCAUUCCACGAGUUCCGUGCCGCAGCUAACGCAUUAAGCGCCCCGCCUGGGGAGUACGGCCGCAAGGCUAAAACUCAAAUGAAUUGACGG
rnacentral:rRNA from 1 species